UUGCUGGUACACACGUGUACAAUGUCUGAACAAAGGGUGCAAGACCGCAAGGUUUAGCCAAUCCCAUAAAUCUGUUCUCAGUUCGGAUCGCAGUCUGCAACUCGACUGCGUGAAGCUGGAAUCGCUAGUAAUCGCGGAUCAGCAUGCCGCGGUGAAUACGUUCCCGGGCCUUGUACACACCGCCCGUCACACCACGAGAGUUUGCAACACCCGAAGUCGGUGAGGUAACCUUUAUGGAGCCAGCCGCCGAAGGUGGGGCAGAUGAUGGGGGG
rnacentral:rRNA from 1 species